GACGAACGCUGGCGGCGUGCCUAAUACAUGCAAGUCGAGCGAGUCUGCCUUGAAUGUCGGAGUGCUUGCACUCUGUGAAACGAGAUACAGGCUAGCGGCGGACGGGUGAGUAACACGUGGGUAACCUGCCCAAGAGAUCGAGCUCACACCUGGAGACAGAUGCUAAUACGGGAUAACAGAAGACGAUGCCUAACAAGUGCCUAAGAGAUGGUUCUGCGAUCACUCGGUGAUGGCCUUGCGGGGCAUUAGCUAGUUGGUAGGGUAAAGGCCUACCAAGGCGAUGAUGCAUAGCCGGUGUGAGAGGCUGAUCAGCCACACUGGAACUGAGACACGGCCCAAACUCCUACGGGAGGCAGCAGUAGGGAAUAUUCCACAAUGGACGCAAGUCUGAUGGAGCCACGCCGCGUGAGUGAAGAAGGGUUUCGGAUCGUAAAGCACUGUUGGUGGUGAAGAAGGGCAGUGAUAGAAACUGAUCUUUGUUUGACGGUAAUCAAUUAGAAAGUCACGGCUAACUACGUG
rnacentral:rRNA from 1 species